rnacentral:rRNA from 2 species
GCCGUGAGAGCGGGAGCCCCCAGAUGGGCAUUGAGACAGGGCCCAGGCCCUACGGGGCGCACCAGGCGGGAAACCUCCGCAAUGCGGUAACCCGUGACGGGGUCACCCCGAGUGCUCCCUUAUGGGGAGCUUUUCCCCGCUGCAGGAAGGCGGGGGUAAUAAGUGGGGGGCAAGACUGGUGUCAGCNGCCGCGGUAAUACCAGCCCCACGAGUGGUCGGGACGGUUAUUGGGCCUAAAGCGCCCGUAGCCGGCCCAGCAAGUUCCUGCCUAAAUCACCGGGCUCAACCCGGUGANUGGUGGGAAUACUGCUGGGCUAGGAGGCGGGAGAGGCCGGGGGUACUCCUAGGGUAGGGGCGAAAUCCUAUAAUCCUAGGAGGACCACCAGUGGCGAAGGCGCCCGGCUGGAACGCGCUCGACGGUGAGGGGCGAAAGCUGGGGGAGCAAACCGGAUUAGAUACCCGGGUAGUCCCAGCUGUAAACGAUGCGGACUAGGUGUUGGACGGACCUAGGGUCCGUCCAGUGCCGCAGGGAAGCCGUUAAGUCCGCCGCCUGGGGAGUACGGCCGCAAGGCUGAAACUUAAAGGANUUGGCGGGGGAGCAC